rnacentral:rRNA from 1 species
CCUACGGGAGGCAGCAGUAGGGAAUCUUCCACAAUGGACGAAAGUCUGAUGGAGCAACGCCGCGUGAGUGAAGAAGGGUUUCGGCUCGUAAAGCUCUGUUGGUAGUGAAGAAAGAUAGAGGUAGUAACUGGCCUUUAUUUGACGGUAAUUACUUAGAAAGUCACGGCUAACUACGUGCCAGCAGCCGCGGUAAUACGUAGGUGGCAAGCGUUGUCCGGAUUUAUUGGGCGUAAAGCGAGUGCAGGCGGUUCAAUAAGUCUGAUGUGAAAGCCUUCGGCUCAACCGGAGAAUUGCAUCAGAAACUGGUGGACUUGAGUGCAGAAGAGGCGAGUGGAACUCCAUGUGUAGCGGUGGAAUGCGUAGAGAUAAGGAAGAACACCAGUGGCGAAGGCGGCUCUCUGGUCUGCAACUGACGCUGAGGCUCGAAAGCAUGGGUAGCGAACAGGAUUAGAUACCCUAGUAGUC